rnacentral:rRNA from 1 species
UGGGGAAUCUUGCGCAAUGGGCGAAAGCCUGACGCAGCAACGCCGCGUGCGGGAUGAAGGCCCUCGGGUUGUAAACCGCUUUCAGUGGGGACGAACCAAGACGGUACCCACAGAAGAAGCCCCGGCCAACUACGUGCCAGCAGCCGCGGUAACACGUAGGGGGCAAGCGUUGUCCGGAUUUAUUGGGCGUAAAGAGCUCGUAGGUGGUUCAGUAAGUCGGGUGUGAAACCUCCAGGCUCAACCUGGAGACGCCACCCGAUACUGCUGUGACUAGAGUCCAGUAGGGGAGCAUGGAAUUCCUGGUGUAGCGGUGAAAUGCGCAGAUAUCAGGAGGAACACCAGUGGCGAAGGCGGUGCUCUGGGCUGGAACUGACACUGAGGAGCGAAAGCGUGGGGAGCGAACAGGAUUAGAUACCCUGGUAGUCCACGCCGUAAACGUUGGGUACUAGGUGUGGGGUCUUAUCAACGGAUUCCGUGCCGAAGCUAACGCAUUAAGUA